AUGGUGGACGAGUCGCCGCCGCCGACGCACGUCCCAAACCAGUGGGUCGCCUUCUGCACCGACCACUCCUGGUCGCAGCGCGUGCACGGCGUUCUCCUACAUCUCAAUGACACGGGCAUCGCGGCCUUGCUGAGGGACUACCAUUGGGCAGCCUCUUCUUCUCCAUGGUGCUCCAGCAACUGCACAAAGAGGUCAGUUAUCUCGAUUGGUGCCACACAACUCAGGCCGGAGAUGAUGGAAGGAUCUGCACAAGAGGACGUAUCUCUGGACAACCACCAAGUGUUCUCCGUGCUAUGCUACUGCAUGAAUCGCCUCCUGGCCAGGAGGUACCACACACAACUAGAAAUAUACAGCGAAUUCGCUCAGUCUGUGUCACACGACAUCCAUCCCAUCGGUCACGAUAGACACAAGACUACCCCGCAGAUGGAUGUUGCAGCCAGUGGCCAUGACGAGGCUUAUGCCUGCGCGGAGGUGCAGUACCGGAUGCUGAGAGAAAAUGUUACCCACCCGGCUACGAGGAUAACUGGGAGGAGGAAGAACCGAGCCACAUGGGUAACUCGAAGGGAAAAAAAUCAGUGGCGCAACCGUCCAUUUUCUCAUGCCUCCCCUUCUACAGAUACACAACCACUGCCCUUGCUGCUUCUCAACUCCACCUUUGUCCUUGGCACCAUCGGAUUCAUGGAGCAACAAACAUGA
rnacentral:rRNA from 1 species